AGCUUUGUGCAGUGGCAGUAUCAUAGCCAAUAAUGUUUAUCUGAGGUGCAAUUAUUGCUAGUUGAAAACUUUUCCCAAUACACCUCACAUAUUGGAAUUUGGAGUUCAGCUCCCGA
rnacentral:snRNA from 1 species